rnacentral:rRNA from 1 species
AGAGUUUGAUUCUGGCUCAGACUGAACGCUGACGGCGUGCUUAACACAUGCAAGUCGAACGAGAAAUUUCCUGCUUGCAGGAGAGAGUAAAGUGGCGCACGGGUGAGUAACACGUGGACAACCUACCUUCGAAUCCGGAACAACAUUGCGAAAGCGAUGCUAAUACCGGAUGAUGUCGUUUUUACUCUGGUAAUUACGACCAAAGACAGCCUCUGCUUGAAUGCUGUUGUUUGAAGAUGGGUCCGCGUACCAUUAGCUUGUUGGUGGGGUAACGGCCUACCAAGGCUACGAUGGUUAGCUGGUCUGAGAGGAUGAUCAGCCACACUGGAACUGACACACGGUCCAGACUCCUACGGGAGGCAGCAGUGAGGAAUUUUGCGCAAUGGGGGAAACCCUGACGCAGCAACGCCGCGUGAGUGAUGAAGGCCCUUGGGUCGUAAAGCUCUGUCAAGUGGAAAGAAACUGUAAGAUGCUAAUACCAUUUUGCACUGACGGUACCACUGAAGGAAGCACCGGCUAACUCCGUGCCAGCAGCCGCGGUAAUACGGGGGGUGCAAGCGUUAUUCGGAAUUAUUGGGCGUAAAGCGAGUGCAGGCGGUUUGUUAAGUCAGAUGUGAAAGCCCGGGGCUCAACCCCGGAAGUGCAUUUGAAACUGGCAGGAUUGAGUCGUGCAAGGGAGGGCGGAAUUCCUGGUGUAGCGGUGAAAUGCGUAGAUAUCAGGAGGAAGGCCGGUGGUGAAGACGGCCCUCUAGGCAAUGACUGACGCUGAGGCGCGAAAGCGUGGGUAGCAAACAGGAUUAGAUACCCUGGUAGUCCACGCCCUAAACGGUGCGUACUAGGUGUGGGUGGCGAUAGUCAUCCGUGCCGUAGGGAAACCAUUAAGUACGCCGCCUGGGGAGUACGGCCGCAAGGUUAAAACUCAAAGAAAUUGACGGGGGCCCGCACAAGCGGUGGAGCAUGUGGUUUAAUUCGACGCUACGCGCAAAACCUUACCUGGGCUUGACAUGUUAGUAGUAGUGAACCGAAAGGGGAACGAUUCCUAGCAAUAGGAAAGCUAUCACAGGUGCUGCAUGGCUGUCGUCAGCUCGUGCCGUGAGGUGUUGGGUUAAGUCCCGCAACGAGCGCAACCCUCAUCCUCUGUUGCCCUUAACGGGGAUCUCUGAGGAAACUGCCGGCGAAGAGCUGGAGGAAGGUGGGGAUGACGUCAAGUCCGCAUGGCCCUUAUGCCCAGGGCUACACACGUGCUACAAUGGUAGAUACAGAGGGUGGCCAAGCCGCGAGGUGGAGCCAAUCCCACAAAGUCUAUCCAAGUUGGGAUCGGAGUCUGCAACUCGACUCCGUGAACCUGGAAUCGCUAGUAAUCGUGGAUCAGCACGCCACGGUGAAUACGUUCCCGGGCCUUGUACACACCGCCCGUCACACCACGAAAGUCUGUUGUACCCGAAGUAGGUGAGCCAACCCGCAAGGGAGGCAGCUUCCUAAGGUAUGGCCGGUAAUUGGGGUGAAGUCGUAACAAGGUAACC